ACAUGCCUACAAUAUAGCAUUAAUGCACCGGAUCCGAUUAGAACUCCCCAUUUAAGUGUGCUCAGGAUAGAGUAAUACUGGGAUGGGUGACUGCCCGGGAAGUCCUAGUAUUUUACAUGCC
rnacentral:rRNA from 1 species